AUGGAAGCAGCUAGCUCCCUUUCCCUUAUUACGUUACCAUUUCUCUCCGCUAUUCUUCUCUUAGAAGGGCUUGAGAACGAAAUAAAAGUCAAUCCUCUCACCAAUGAAGCGCAUAGGGAUAGGAUGCUCAAGCUCCUUGAUGAGAUUAUUAUCGAUCCGAACGAUCCACAGAAUGCAGGGGUAAUCCUUGCUUCCAGGAUACGCGUCGAGAUUAAUAAAAUCGUGGACGAUAUCGAUCCGUAUUGGCUAACCGACCUUUCCUCUAAUAUAAGUGCGCUUUCUGAAGCAGUGCAUGGAGGGGUGGAAUGGGAUCAUCGGGUCGAAUAA
rnacentral:rRNA from 1 species